rnacentral:rRNA from 1 species
CCUACGGGAGGUAGCAGUGGGGGAUAUUGCACAAUGGGGGAAACACUGAUGCAGCGACGCCGCGUGUGGGAAGACGGUCCUCUGGAUUGUAAACCACUGUCCCCAGGGACGAAGAUGACGGUACCUGGGGAGGAAGCUCCUGCUAACAACGUGCCAGCCGCCGAGGUAAUACGGAGGAAGCGAGCGGUGUCCGGAAUUACUGGGUGUAAAGGGAGCGUAGGCGGGACUGCAAGUUGGGUGUCAAAUCUACCGGCUCAAACGGUAGCCGCAGGCGAAACUGGAGGUCUUGAGUGAAGUAGAGGCAGGCGGAAUGCGUGGUGUAGCGGUGAAAUGCGUAGAUAUUAGGCAGAACACCAGUGGCGAAGGCAGCCUGCUGGGCUUUUACUGACGCUGAGGCUCGAAAGUGUGGGGAGCGAACAGGAUUAGAUACCCUAGUAGUC